GACGAACGCUGGCGGCGUGCUUAACACAUGCAAGUCGAGCGGUAAGGCCCCUUCGGGGGUACACGAGCGGCGAACGGGUGAGUAACACGUGAGCAAUCUGCCCUUCACACGGGGAUAACUCCGGGAAACCGAGGCUAAUACCCGAUACGACCACCUCAGGCAUCUGAUGGUGGUGGAAAGUUCCGGCGGUGAAGGAUGGAGCUCGCGGCCUGUCAGCUUGUUGGUGGGGUAACGGCCCACCAAGGCAACGACGGGUAGCCGGCCUGAGAGGGUGGCCGGCCACACUGGGACUGAGACACGGCCCAGACUCCUACGGGAGGCAGCAGUGGGGAAUAUUGGACAAUGGGCGCAAGCCUGAUCUAGCCAUGCCGCGUGAGCGAUGAAGGCCUUAGGGUUGUAAAGCUCUUUCAGUGGGGAAGAUAAUGACGGUACCCACAGAAGAAGCCCCGGCUAACUCCGUGCCAGCCGCCGCAGUAACAC
rnacentral:rRNA from 1 species